AAAGAAAAUCUUCAAACUUCAAUAUUUAGUCCAAUAACCUUUUGCUUCCAAAACAGCUGAAAUCCUUCUUGGCAUACUUUUGUAUAGUUUCUCACAAUCUUUUGCAUCAAAACUAGGAUAAAUACUACAAACAUUCUCCCACAAUUCUUGAACACCUCUUGGCCUUGGAGUGACUUGGCUUAAACGCUGUUUGAGAAGG
rnacentral:lncRNA from 1 species